GACGAACGCUGGCGGCGUGCUUAACACAUGCAAGUCGAACGGAAAGGCCCUGCUUGCAGGGUACUCGAGUGGCGAACGGGUGAGUAACACGUGGGUGAUCUGCCCUGCACUUCGGGAUAAGCCUGGGAAACUGGGUCUAAUACCGGAUAGGAACCAUUUUUAGUGUGAUGGUUGGAAAGUUUUUUCGGUGUAGGAUGAGCUCGCGGCCUAUCAGCUAGUUGGUGGGGUAAUGGCCUACCAAGGCGGCGACGGGUAGCCGGCCUGAGAGGGUGGACGGCCACAGUGGAAGUGAACGACGGUACUGAGUCUGAGGGGCGGCCCAGGUUGCGACGAGUGGCAAAAGGGGGGAAGCUUGCACAAGCGGCGCCGGCUUGGUGCAGCGGGGCCGCGGGGUGGAUAACGGCCUUGUGGUUGAAAACUCCCUUCGCGAGGAACGAAGGUUGUUGUGACGGUACCUAGAGAAGAAGCACCGGCUAACUACGUG
rnacentral:rRNA from 1 species